rnacentral:lncRNA from 1 species
CAUGUGUUGGUCUCGGCCGCAUCGCAUUCCCGGGGAUGGAUGCUACUGGGGAUUUCUCUGGUCGCUCUCUCUCUCACUCUCUCUUACCUGACUUGUUGACCGUGCUAGUGCUAGCGAUGGUGUCUUAAUUGACCCAUGUGCAAGCGUACUGGGCCACCAUCACCCCCGUUCAUUUGCUUAAUUGCUAAAAACAUUUCAGCUUUUAGCAAACUAGUUCUAGCAGCACUUCUAACAAUAUUUUAAUCUCUUUCAAAGAUAAAUUCAGUACGUCUAGAGUACUGAUUUGCGAUUGAGAAUUUUAUUCUUUCGCAAAACAAUCUCAUUGCGAUCGAGAUUAAUUUUCUCUCGUAAAAUAUUAAUUCACCUCGCUGAAUUAUCUUGCAACUUGCUACAAGAUCAUCUCAUUUAAUUUGAGGUCUAUACAAUUCAAGUUUUUCACUUGAGCAUCAAGUUUGCAACAUCAUUACUAUUCAUUGCAAUAGUAGUAUAUAUCUGUUGAGUACUGAGAUGUAUUCCAGAUCUCAAGUUGACGUAAUAUAUGUCCACGUUUAUCACGUGUCGAGAUUAAUUACGUCCAUUUGCAAUUGAAAUUUUAA